rnacentral:rRNA from 1 species
CCACCAAAAUUUUUUAUUAUAGAAUAAUAUUUUUGUCUUGUUUACUUAGGAUAUAUGAGUUGUGUUGAGAUGUAAUUCGGAAGUUUGAGCUAUUAUGUAUUUGACUCAGGGUAGGCGUAUCUUCAGAUAAAUUUGGGUGCCAGUAAUCACGGUUAGACCUAUUGGGAGAGAAAUACAGUUUGUUGUUUUGUUUGUUACUUGAAGGAAGGUUUAAUUUAAGGUUGUGGUAUAUGAAAGACUUACCGUAGGAAUCGGAUUAGGUACCCGAGUACUGUGUCUUAUAUUGGGUAGUUAUUAUUUGUGUUAUGUAGAAUACUAAAAGAUUAGGCGGUUUAUCCUUUACAGGGGAGCUUGUUUGUUAAAUUGAUAAUCCGCGAUUAAAUUUACUUAGUUUUUUAGUUAUGUAUGUCCGUUUAAUAUAUUUUCAUAAUGAGGUAUAGGUAGAGAUUUCAGGUCACCAUGUAUGUUAUUAAGGUUUUAGUGAGCUACAAUAUAUUUUAAUUUAUUUGGAUCUCUUACUAUAGUGUAAGUGGAGAAGUAGGACUUGUAAGUAAAAAAAUAUUAGGUAAAUUUUUUGGACUUUUUUUAGGAUAAGAGCACUCACCGCCCGCCACCAAAGGUGUAAGCUUUUGUAAGGCGUAACAAGGUAGCUCUUCUAGAAGGAGGAGCUGGUUUUAAAGUUGACA